rnacentral:rRNA from 1 species
UGGGGCUGUAGCCGGUCCCAAGGGUAUGGCUGUUCGCCAUUUAAAGAGGUACGUGAGCUGGGUUUAAAACGUCGUGAGACAGUUUGGUCCCUAUCUGCCAUGGGCGUUGGAGAUUUGACGGGGGCUGCUCCUAGUACGAGAGGACCGGAGUGGACGUACCGCUGGUGUACCUGUUGUUUCGCCAGAAGCAUCGCAGGGUAGCUAUGUACGGAAGAGAUAACCGCUGAAAGCAUCUAAGCGGGAAACUUGCCUGAAGAUGAGAUCUCCCGUAGGUUUAACCUACAUAAAGGGUCGUUGAAGACCACAACGUUGAUAGGUCGGGUGUGGAAGUGCAGUAAUGCAUUAAGCUAACCGAUACUAAUUGCCCGUUAGGCUUGAUCCUAUAACC